GACGAACGCUGGCGGCGUGCUUAACACAUGCAAGUCGAACGGAAAGGCCCUGCUUUUGUGGGGUGCUCGAGUGGCGAACGGGUGAGUAACACGUGAGUAACCUGCCCUUGACUUUGGGAUAACUUCAGGAAACUGGGGCUAAUACCGGAUAGGAGCUCCUGCUGCAUGGUGGGGGUUGGAAAGUUUCGGCGGUUGGGGAUGGACUCGCGGCUUAUCAGCUUGUUGGUGGGGUAGUGGCUUACCAAGGCUUUGACGGGUAGCCGGCCUGAGAGGGUGACCGGCCACAUUGGGCCUGAGAUACGGCCCAGACUCCUACGGGAGGCAGCAGUGGGGAAUAUUGCACAAUGGGCGGACGCCUGAUGCAGCAACGCCGCGUGCGGGAUGACGGCCUUCGGGUUGUAAACCGCUUUCGCCUGUGACGAAGCGUGCGUGACGGUAAUGGGUAAAGAAGCACCGGCUAACUACGUG
rnacentral:rRNA from 1 species